UCAAGCAAAGCUAACAAUCUCUCUAAUCGCAGGAUCUUGCAGCUACACGGGUUUUGGCAAAGGAGUAGCUGAGGGAGAUUUCAGAAUUUGCUCAGCAUGAGGCUUGCUGUCAUUACCAAGGUGAUAAAUUUGUGGAUUCUGGCCAAGGUUCCUGGACAUCUUCCCCAUAAAGAGGACAAGCAGUGUGUGCCACCAAGCCCUGCUCCUCCUGGAAUUUUUGUGAUUCUAUCGCUGUACUGAAGAUGCUUCCAUUGCUAUCAAGCCAGUUCCCUUUCAAGACCUUCACAGCUUCUGGUGAUCUGCUGGUUGUCCCUCCUUGGCUGUACCACCUCUCAACAGAUGACAACGGUGGGAGAGAGUGGAGAAGGUCACGCUGACAAACAGGAAGCUAGAAGGAGGCUGGGUGCUACAGUCUCUUUUUGAGAGCAUGCGGCCACACACCUGGAGAUCCCCCACUGGCUGGCUCAAUGGGUAGAGCACCAGCCCUGAACUUGUGAAGAUUAAGAUUUGGAUCCCAGAGGCCAUCUAAAAUGUUAGGUCCUAGUCUUGGAGGUUCUUGAAGCUGUUAGCCAGCCCAGACUCCGUGUCAAGAAAACAAAAGAGGCAGAUAACAAAGUGAUCAAAAGAAAAACACCUAAUUCCUAUUUCAGGUUUCACAUGCAGGCAUAUAGGUAGGCUCACACAUUCAUAUUUCCCCCCAAAGAAGCUCCCUACAUGAAUAUUUGGGGAGCAUAAUGAUGCUAUAUCCUACCCAGUGCAGUAGCGGAUUUUCUAAUAAAGCACAAUGAGUGGCUGGAUGAAGCAAACAUCUGUAUUCUUUUGGUCAUACUAGAAAAUAAUAAAAAAAUUGCAGGUAUUUGGGAUUGAGUUUCGUAGUGUAAUAGCUUCCUCUGAGAUUGAAACAUUCCAUCCUGCAGGAAGCCCUCAAACAGGAAGGAAAACAACUCAACAUAGCUUCAGGAAGUUCCUGAAACUGAGCAGAUUCAUUAGGCCCCUCCCUGCCAGAAAAUUAGGAAACUGACCUACAUGAAGACUGUUAGGCAAGCAAAGCUACAAAGAGAACUCCCAAGAUCAGAACAGCUGCCUGGGAAAGGUUUAGAGCAAGUUAGGCACCUGGAAAGGGCACUCUUCAACUGGGUGGGCUGCCUCAGGCUGUGCAGUGUGUUCUGGGUUUCCAUGCUGGGAUGGGAACUUUGUGGAUGCAGCUGUCUUUGAGUCAUUUCUGCUCCUAUAAGUAAUCCCAAUAAAAUAUUGUUGCACCAUG